rnacentral:rRNA from 1 species
GAAUCCCGUCUUUGGCAUGGAUGACCGGGGCUUUUGUGAUGCGCUCUCGAAGAGUCGAGUUGUUUGGGAAUGCAGCUCAAAAUGGGUGGUGAACUCCAUCUAAAGCUAAAUAUUGGCGAGAGACCGAUAGCGAACAAGUACCGUGAGGGAAAGAUGAAAAGCACUUUGGAAAGAGAGUGAAACAGUACGUGAAAUUGUUGAAAGGGAAACGCUUGAAGUCAGUCGCGUCGGCCGAGACUCAGCCUUGCCUCGGCUUGGUGUACUUCUUGACCGACGGGUCAGCAUCAAUUUUGCCCCUUGGAUAAUGGCGAGGGAAAUGUGACACCUUUAUAGGUGUGUUAUAGUCUCUCGUCGCAUGCAAGGGUCGGGAUUGAGGAACUCAGCACGCGCCUUCGGGCGUCGGGGCCUUGCCCACGAUACGUGCUUAGGAUGUUGGCGUAAUGGCUUUAAACGACCCGUCUUGAAACACGGACCAAGGAGUCUAACAUGCCCGCGAGUGUUCGGGUGGAAAACCCGUGCGCGCAAUGAAAGUGAAAGUUGGGACCUCUGUCGCGGAGGGCACCGACGCCCGGACCAGAGCUUCUGCGACGGAUCUGCGGUGGAGCGUGUAUGUUAGGACCCGAAAGAUGGUGAACUAUGCCUGAAUAGGGUGAAGCCAGAGGAAGCUCUGGUGGAGGCUCGUAGCGAUUCUGACGUGCAAAUCGAUCGUCAAAUUUGGGUAUAGGGGCGAAAGACUAAUCGAACCAUCUAGUAGCUGGUUCCUGCC